AGUCAAUAGAUACCCAGGUAGUCCACGCCGUAAACGAUGUCAACUAGAUGUAGGGGGUGUUGAUCCCCUCUGUGUCGCAGCUAACGCAUUAAGUUGACCGCCUGGGGAGUACGGUCGCAAGAUUAAAACUCAAAGAAAUUGACGGGGGCCCGCACAAGCGGUGGAGUAUGUGGUUUAAUUCGAUGCAACGCGAAGAACCUUACCUGGUCUUGACAUCCCGGGAAUCCUUUGGAAACUUAGGAGUGCCUUCAUUAGAAGGAGCCCGGAGACAGGUGCUGCAUGGCUGUCGUCAGCUCGUGUCGUGAGAUGUUGGGUUAAGUCCCGCAACGGGCGCAACCCUUGCCUUUAGUUGCCAGCAGUUCGGCUGGGCACUCUAAAGGGACUGCCGGUGUCAAACCGGAGGAAGGUGGGGAUGACGUCAAGUCCUCAUGGCCUUUAUGACCAGGGCUACACACGUACUACAAUGGCCGAUACAAAGGGCAGCAACACUGCGAAGUGUAGCCAAUCCCAUAAAAUCGGUCUCAGUCCGGAUUGGAGUCUGC
rnacentral:rRNA from 1 species